GGUGAACGCUGGCGGCGUGCCUAGGACAUGCAAGUCGAGCGGCGCAGGUUUAUACCUGUUCUGCGGCGGACGGGUGGGUAACGCGUGGGUGACCUACCCGGGAGAUGCGGACAACCUGGGGGAACCCAGUCUAAUCCCCCAUGCGAUCCUGUCCUGCGGGCCAGGGCUAAAAGGACGACCCCCUUCCGGAUGGGCCCGCGUCCCAUCAGCUAGUUGGUGGGGCAAAGGCCCACCAAGACGACGCCCGGUAGCCGGUCUGCGAGGAUGGCCGGCCACAGGGGGACUGAGACACGGGCCCCACUCCUACGGGGGGCAGCAGGUAGGAAUCUUCCGCAAUGGACGGAAGUCUGACGGUGCGAGGAGGAGUGGAGGGGGAAGCACAGCGGGGUGUAAACUCCUGAACUGGGGACGAAAGACCCGUGGAGGGGGAUGACGGUACCCAGGUAAUAGCGCCGGCCAACUCCGUG
rnacentral:rRNA from 1 species